AUUGAACGCUGGCGGCAUGCCUUACACAUGCAAGUCGAACGGUAACGGGCCUUCGGGUGCCGACGAGUGGCGAACGGGUGAGUAAUACAUCGGAACGUGCCCGAUCGUGGGGGAUAACGAGGCGAAAGCUUUGCUAAUACCGCAUACGAUCUACGGAUGAAAGCAGGGGACCGCAAGGCCUUGCGCGGACGGAGCGGCCGAUGGCAGAUUAGGUAGUUGGUGGGAUAAAAGCUUACCAAGCCGACGAUCUGUGGCUGGUCUGAGAGGAUGAUCAGCCACACUGGGACUGAGACACGGCCCAGACUCCUACGGGAGGCAGCAGUGGGGAAUUUUGGACAAUGGGCGCAAGCCUGAUCCAGCCAUGCCGCGUGCAGGAUGAAGGCCUUCGGGUUGUAAACUGCUUUUGUACGGAACGAAAAGCCUUCUUUUAAUACAGGAGGGUCAUGACGGUACCGUAAGAAUAAGCACCGGCUAACUACGU
rnacentral:rRNA from 1 species